CUUUUGCCCCUGUAACGCUGGCGGGUGCCCUGGCGGCCCGGCGAGCGCGGGAGCUGCUGGAACCAAGCCCAAAACCUGGAUGCCACCAGCGAGCAACAGCAGCUGCAGGUGCAGUGAUGCCUAAAACAUGGCAUGAAUACUCAAGAGAUAUAGCAGAGACAUUCAGUGAUAGCACAAGGAGCACCUAAGGAUCUCUGAUCAGAGCCCCAUCAUGCUGUGCACCGUACAAAGACUGUUCAUAAUCUAAGAUUUAGAUACAAAGGAAUAGGUGAAUAAAUAAACCAGUGGGAGAGAGAGGGAGGACAAAGUUAUAGCAUAAACAUGACCAAAUACUCAACACAGUGGUCUUAGGAGUCACAACAUGGUGGGGGGAGGGGGGAAGCCUAGUCACUUUGACUGGUCUCCAUUGGAAUUGUGUAGCUCAGACACUGCACACUUGCUUAAAAGAUGGUCCCUGAAUGUUUCUGAAAUUCUCCAUUCUCCCUCUGUUUCGUGCACCACAUAAGUUGGCUCCAUUAUUAAGCCUUUUUGUUGUUGUCAAACACUUACUGGCCUCUCUCAAUCACAUCAGUAUAAUUACUUCCAUGGCUGUGUAGUUCGCAGAACAGUGUUCACUCAUUAACUGUCAAAGUGGUCAUUGAUUGUCGUUCCUUCGAGUUAUUCAUUGCUGAAAAAAUCAUGCAUGUCUCUUACACGUCUUAUCUAGACAGUUGGGUUGCUCAUAAGAUGUGUAAUAGAUGUGCACAAUCUACAAUUUGUCUCCUUUAUAUCAGCAAAUUAAAAACCAAAACAGCACUGCCACAGUAGGGUUAAUGGUCUGACUUUAUACCUGCUCUGCAGAAAUAAGGAAAUGAAGGGGUCUGGUCUAUACAAAAAAAUUGUACUUGUGAAACUAAAUUGGUUUCUAAAUCGAUUUUAAAAAGAA